AAUAGAUACCCUGGUAGUCCACGCCGUAAACGAUGGAUACUAGCUGUUUGACCGCAAGGUUGAGUGGCUAAGCGAAAGUGAUAAGUAUCCCACCUGGGGAGUACGAACGCAAGUUUGAAACUCAAAGGAAUUGACGGGGGCCCGCACAAGCGGUGGAGCAUGUGGUUUAAUUCGAUGAUACGCGAGGAACCUUACCAGGGCUUAAAUGUAGUUUGACGUAUUUGGAAACAGAUAUUUCUUCGGACAAAUUACAAGGUGCUGCAUGGUUGUCGUCAGCUCGUGCCGUGAGGUGUCAGGUUAAGUCCUAUAACGAGCGCAACCCCUGUUGUUAGUUGCCAUCGAGUCAUGUCGGGAACUCUAACAAGACUGCCAGUGUAAACUGCGAGGAAGGUGGGGAUGACGUCAAAUCAUCACGGCCCUUACGUCCUGGGCCACACACGUGCUACAAUGGACGGUGCAGAGAGCAGCCACUUAGCAAUAAGGAGCGAAUCUAUAAAACCGUUCUCAGUUCGGAUCGGAGUCUGCAACUCGAC
rnacentral:rRNA from 1 species